UGAGACGUCUGUAAUGGCAGUAGUGUCCUG
rnacentral:piRNA from 1 species